AGCUCGGUGGUGCAGUGGCUAGCAUGUGGGGCUCAUAGUAAUAUGUGGCACCCCAAGGUCGACGGAUCGAGACCGUCCUGAGCUA